CUGGCUCAGGACGAACGCUGGCGGCGUGCCUAAUACAUGCAAGUCGAACGGUCUUUUCUAUGGAAGCUUGCUUCCACUGAGAAGAUAGUGGCGAACGGGUGAGUAACACGUGGGUAACCUGCCCAUAAGAGGGGGAUAACAUCCGGAAACGGGUGCUAAUACCGCAUAGUUUUCUUGAUCGCAUGAUCGGGAAAGGAAAGACGGCCUUUGUGCUGUCGCUUAUGGAUGGACCCGCGGCGUAUUAGUUAGUUGGUGAGGUAACGGCUCACCAAGACGAUGAUACGUAGCCGACCUGAGAGGGUGAUCGGCCACAUUGGGACUGAGACACGGCCCAAACUCCUACGGGAGGCAGCAGUAGGGAAUCUUCCGCAAUGGACGAAAGUCUGACGGAGCAACGCCGCGUGAGUGAAGAAAGGUUUUCGGAUCGUAAAACUCUGUUGUCAGAGAAGAACAAGUUGGAGAGUAACUGCUCCAGCCUUGACGGUAUCUGACCAGAAAGCCACGGCUAACUACGUGCCAGCCGCAGC
rnacentral:rRNA from 1 species